GGGGAUUCCUUAAGCCUAAACACUGCAGUCGAGCGGACAGUAUAGGGAGCUUUGCUCCCUGAUGUUAGCGGCGGACGGGUGAGUAACACGUGGGUAACCUGCCUGUAAGACUGGGAUAACUCCGGGAAACCGGGGCUAAUACCGGAUGCUUGUUUGAACCGCAUGGUUCAAACAUAAAAGGUGGCUUCGGCUACCACUUACAGAUGGACCCGCGGCGCAUUAGCUAGUUGGUGAGGUAAUGGCUCACCAAGGCGACGAUGCGUAGCCGACCUGAGAGGGUGAUCGGCCACACUGGGACUGAGACACGGCCCAGACUCCUACGGGAGGCAGCAGUAGGGAAUCUUCCGCAAUGGACGAAAGUCUGACGGAGCAACGCCGCGUGAGUGAUGAAGGUUUUCGGAUCGUAAAGCUCUGUUGUUAGGGAAGAACAAGUACCGUUCGAAUAGGGCGGUACCUUGACGGUACCUAACCAGAAAGCCACGGCUAACUACGUGCCAGCAGCCGCGGUAAUACGUAGGUGGCAAGCGUUGUCCGGAAUUAUUGGGCGUAAAGGGCUCGCAGGCGGUUUCUUAAGUCUGAUGUGAAAGCCCCCGGCUCAACCGGGGAGGGUCAUUGGAAACUGGGGAACUUGAGUGCAGAAGAGGAGAGUGGAAUUCCACGUGUAGCGGUGAAAUGCGUAGAGAUGUGGAGGAACACCAGUGGCGAAGGCGACUCUCUGGUCUGUAACUGACGCUGAGGAGCGAAAGCGUGGGGAGCGAACAGGAUUAGAUACCCUGGUAGUCCACGCCGUAAACGAUGAGUGCUAAGUGUUAGGGGGUUUCCGCCCCUUAGUGCUGCAGCUAACGCAUUAAGCACUCCGCCUGGGGAGUACGGUCGCAAGACUGAAACUCAAAGGAAUUGACGGGGGCCCGCACAAGCGGUGGAGCAUGUGGUUUAAUUCGAAGCAACGCGAAGAACCCUACCAGGCUUGACAUCCUCUGACAAUUCUAAAGAUAGGACGUCCCCUUCGGGGGCAAAGUGACAGGUGGGGCAUGGUUGUCGUCAGCUCGUGUCCAGG
rnacentral:rRNA from 1 species